GGGAAGGGCAGAGAGAGAGGGAGACACAGAAUCUGAAGCAGGUUCCAGGCUCUGAGCUGUUAACACAGAGACCGACUCAGGGCUCAAAUCCACAAACUGUGAGAUCAGGACCUGAGCCAAAGCUGGAUACUUAACCAACUGAGCCACCCAGGGGCCCAGCACUGGAGUUUUAACAGCAAAGUGUCAUCAUCAAAACAGCUGAGCUCACAGAAGAAGGUCACUCUGCCUGCCUCAAGGACUUGUCAAUGGGCUUGCUAUGCUUUUGACUCUACUUGGAGAUUCUUCAGGUAAGUCCAACCCACAAUGGUCUUCUUAGAUUUUGAA